AGGUAUUGUGUUGCCCCCUGGCCUUGGAAAUCUAGUGCUUGUGGUGUAAAGUGUCCAAAUUGGACAGUUAUCAGGCUUUUUCUUACCCUAGAAUUGGUUUUCUUGUGUAUGGGAUCUACGCGAGUAACAGUG
rnacentral:snoRNA from 1 species